AUCCAGCUGAAAAGUCCAAACUAGGACGAAAUGCGCAUCCUGGAU
rnacentral:hammerhead_ribozyme from 1 species